UGGGAAUAUUGGACAAUGGGCGAAAGCCUGAUCCAGCCAUGCCGCGUGUGUGAAGAAGGUCUUCGGAUUGUAAAGCACUUUAAGUUGGGAGGAAGGGCAUUAACCUAAUACGUUAGUGUUUUGACGUUACCGACAGAAAUAAGCACCGGCUAACUUCGUGCCAGCAGCCGCGGUAAUACGAAGGGUGCAAGCGUUAAUCGGAAAUUACUGGGCGUAAAGCGCGCGUAGGUGGUUCGUUAAGUUGGAUGUGAAAGCCCCGGGCUCAACCUGGGAACUGCAUCCAAAAACUGGCGAGCUAGAGUACGGUAGAGGGUGGUGGAAUUUCCUGUGUAGCGGUGAAANUGCGUAGAUAUAGGAAGGAACACCAGUGGCGAAGGCGACCACCUGGACUGAUACUGACACUGAGGUGNGAAAGCGUGGGGAGCAAACAGGAUUAGAUACCCUGGUAGUCCACGCCGUAAACGAUGUCAACUAGCCGUUGGGGUUCCUUGAGAAACUUAGUGGCGCAGCUAAACGCAUUAAGUUGACCGCCUGGGGGAGUACGGCCGCAAGGUUAAAACUC
rnacentral:rRNA from 1 species